GUCUCGGUGAAGUGGCUGGUAGGCAGUUGGACUAUCAAUGCAAAGGUCGUCAGUUCGAGUCCCGGGAUG
rnacentral:tRNA from 1 species